rnacentral:rRNA from 1 species
GACGAACCGUCCAAACGUUAUUCGGAAUCACUGGGCUUAAAGGGUGCGUAGGCGGUCCGGGAAGUUGGGUGUGAAAGCCCUCGGCUCAACCGAGGAAUUGCGUCCAAAACUGCCGGACUCGAGGGAGACAUAGGUGAGCGGAACUUAGGGUGGAGCGGUGAAAUGCGUUGAGAUCCUAAGGAACACCAGUAGCGAAAGCGGCUCACUGGGUCUCUUCUGACGCUGAUGCACGAAAGCUAGGGGAGCGAAGAGG